CAGCUAGUUAUCAUCAGCUAGUUAUCAUCAGCUAGUUAUCAGCAGCUAGUUAUCAGCUAGUUAGCAGCUAGUUAGCAGCUAGUUAGCAGCUAGUUAUCAUCAGCUAGUUAUCAGCUAGUUAUCAGCUAGUGUUAUUGUAAAGCAAAGCUGCAAUCGGCAGUUUCAGGUAAAAAGAUGGAUAAAUAUAACCAUUCAGCAGAGUUAUGGGAUGCCAGGACUGACCAUCCAUGAUAUCAAAAUGAUUGUUUUAACCAUGUUAUGAAGCUAUACGUUUUUUUUGGUAUUUUACAUUUAUUAUAAACUUAAACGGACGACAGGGAAAAGCUCAAACCAAGUCUAUUCACCCUCUGGUUCAUUCAGCUGCAAAGACAAAGCAUGAUUACAUAACAUGCCAUUUAUAACCUCCUACUAGGAGGGUCAACUCCCAACACAGCCACUGCAUCUCUGUUGCUAGGAGGAACUGAAUGGUUCCUCUCACUGGUGUCGUGAGCCGCAGGUAGACUAGUGGUUAGAGUGUAGAGGAGGCAGGUAGUCUAGUGGUUAGAGUGGAGGGGCGGCAGGUAGACUAGUGGUUAGAGUGUAGAGGAGGCAGGUAGACUAGUAGUUAGAGUGGAGGGGCGGCAGGUAGACUAGUGGUUAGAGUGUAGAGGAGGCAGGUAGACUAGUAGUUAGAGUGUAGAGGCGGCAGGUAGUCUAGUGGUUAGAGUGUAGGGGCCGCAGGUAGCCUAGUGGUUAGGGUGUAGGGGCGGCAGGUAGCCUAGUGGUUAGAGUGGAGGAGAGGCAGGUAGCCUAGUGGUUAGAGUGGAGGGGCCGCAGGUAGGCUAUUGGUUAGAGCGGAGGGGCUGCAGGUAGCCUAGUGGUUAGAGUGUAGAGGAGGCAGGUAGACUAGUGGUUAGAGUGGAGGGGCCGCAGGUAGUCUAGUGGUUAGAGUGGAGGGGGGGCAGGUAGACUAGUG
rnacentral:lncRNA from 1 species